rnacentral:rRNA from 1 species
AAACACGGACCAAGGAGUUGAACAUGUGCGCGAGUCACACAGUCUUGUUUAGGCUAGUGAGGCGCAAUGAAAGUAAAGCUUGUUAAGUUACGAUCCUCAUGUCAGGUUAUUCGUCUUUAAAACGCGAGUAACGGUGGGGCGCAGUAACAGCCCGCUAAUUUCGCUUUUUGACGAUAUGGCGGAGUUGUAGCGUACACGUUCAGACCCGAAAGAUGGUGAACUAUGCCUGGGCAAGACGAAGCCAGAGGAAACUCUGGUGGAGGUCUGUAGCGAUUCUGACGUGCAAAUCGAUCGUCAGACCUGGGUAUAGGGGCGAAAGACUAAUCGAACCAUCU